UCCCUCCGGGAGGCAGCCGUGGGGAAUAUUGGCCAAUGGGGGGACCCCUGAUCCCGCGCCUCCUCUUUCUUUCCUCCUUCUUUCUUUAUGUACAUCUCUAUCAGCAGUUCCUCAAAUGACGGUACCUGACUAAGAAGCCCCGGCUAACUACGUGCCAGCAGCCGCGGUAAUACGUAGGGGGCAAGCGUUAUCCGGAUUUACUGGGUUUACAGGGAGCGUAUACGGUGCAGCAAGUCUGAUGUGAAAGGUCGGGGCCCAACCCCGGGACUGCAUUGGAAACUGUGCAGCUAGAGUGCGGGAGAGGG
rnacentral:rRNA from 1 species